rnacentral:rRNA from 1 species
GACGAACGCUGGCGGCGUGCUUAACACAUGCAAGUGGAGCGACGAACCGGGCUUCGGCCCGGGGCAAAGCCGCGAACGGGUGAGUAACACGUGGGUAACCUGCCCCGAUGACCGGGACAACCCGAGGAAACUCGGGCUAAUACCGGAUGUGCUCGCAGCACAUCAGUGGAGCGAGUAAGAAGCUUCGGCCUCCGCAUUGGGAUGGGCCCGCGGCCCAUUAGCUUGUUGGUGAGGUAAAAGCUCACCAAGGCAACGAUGGGUAGCUGGUCUGAGAGGACGAUCAGCCACACUGGGACUGAGACACGGCCCAGACUCCUACGGGAGGCAGCAGUGGGGAAUCUUGCGCAAUGCGCGAAAGCGUGACGCAGCAACGCCGCGUGAGGGAAGACGG